CUUUCGGGGCGGUGGAGGGUUCUGCGGUUCUGCGGCGGCAGGCAUUGCCAGAGGAGAUGCUGCUGAAUAGCAUCUAAUUGCAACCUCUGGUUCCAGAGCUCGCUCGCUGGCAUUUAAAAUCAGAUCAUGGCGGCUGAGAUCCAAUGCACAUUUCCCUGGGAAUUUUGUAACCCACCCUGGGACCUAUUGGUGAAGUGUGGAAUAACAACAACAACAACAACAAACAACAACAAUGUAUCUUUUAACUUCACAGUGUUUUUUGUAAUCCUGGAAACCACCUUGAGAACUUUUUGUUAGAGGGCAGCAUGUAAUAAAUAAAUUAAAUUAA